rnacentral:rRNA from 1 species
CAGCCGCCGCGGGAAUACGUAGGGCGCAAGCGUUAUCCGGGAUUAUUGGGCGUAAAGAGCUCGUAGGCGGUUUGUCGCGUCUGCCGUGAAAGUCCGGGGCUCAACCCCGGAUCUGCGGUGGGUACGGGCAGACUAGAGUGAUGUAGGGGAGACUGGAAUUCCUGGUGUAGCGGUGAAAUGCGCAGAUAUCAGGAGGAACACCGAUGGCGAAGGCAGGUCUCUGGGCAUUAACUGACGCUGAGGAGCGAAAGCAUGGGGAGCGAACAGGAUUAGAUACCCCCGUAGUCCCUGUCUCUUAUAC